rnacentral:lncRNA from 1 species
CCUCAUCAAUCUACACACAAUACCCCAUAGUGACAAAGCAAAAAAUAGUUUUUAGUUUUUAAUAUCACAUUUACAUAAGUAUUCAGACCCCUUGACUUUUUAAUUGUGUGUAGAUUGAUGAGGGGGGAAAAAAACAAUUUAAUCCAUUUUAGAAUAAGGCUGUAAUGUAACAAAAUGUGGAAAAAGGGAAGGGGUCUGAAUACUUUUCGAACGCACUGUACAUUCCGUACUGAUCAUUUGACUUGCCUUUUUCCAACUUGAAAUAGUUUUUUGUCUUUCUUUCCCACAGACUGCCAUUGCCAACAGUGGAGGGGACAAGGCAAUGGAAUUUGAUAAGAAUGAGGUGGUAACAAUGAACAACAGUUCAAUCACCCUCUAUAAAUGCCAAAAUCUGACAAUGAACUUCAUUUACAUUGAUGCUACACAGCAGAAGGCUGGAACUGAGUCUAAUGGUAAACAACCCCCAGUUAAGGAGAGAUGUUCCCAUUACAUUGUCACAGAGAUGAGGAAUGAGGUUGUGACAACUGCACCUUUGAAUUCAACUAUCAUCAAAGAUGGAGACAAUCCUGAUUCAAACCAUAGUGACACUGAUUUGAUCUGGCAAAUCAUUGGUGAGUGUUUAAGCAAAUCUAUCACCACAGCUUCCUCUGUAUGA